CAGGGACAACGCACAACGGAAACGGUGCUGUUCUGAUUGACCAAUUGAAAAACGGGGAAUGAUUGUGUUGUGGGUUGGGGAACGCUCCACUGACCUUUCGUCACUCAUUGCUUCAAGCCACACCCUACUACACCCACUAAGCGGAGAAAGCGUACCUCAACGUCUGUCCAAGAAUGUUGAAAUGUUGAAUGUUUUGAAGAAACGUGUUGUUCCGUACAAACCGUCACACUACCUAGCUACUGUUUAAUCGAACUGAAUGCACCCCAGGUGCCCUUGAUGUUGCUCCCGCUACUCAAAGCACCUCAGGAAAAAUCAAAGGUCCUGAAAACACCUUUGGUAAACCAGCUCCAACCCCUGCAAGACCAAGUCCUUUAAGACCAACAGAGAACUCUGCAGAAAUCUCAAAUGUUACGCAGACUGAAAACUCUGCUUGUUUAACAGAUGUUGUAGACUCAGAUGCCAGAUCCAAAGAGAAAUGCAACUCCGAUGAUCUUACAGAUGCAGAACGAUCUGAAAGUAACUCAGCAGAAAGCAGAGAGGAUUAUGAUGACUCUCUGGGAUCUAAUACAAAGAUUACACAAACUGUGACAGACGACAGUAGCAGCGACGAGACUGACAGUUCUCCUCCAAGUGAUGUGAGAAAAUACAAACAACCUCCAGGAAGGAGAACCAUAAACCCAGACCAUGUCGACAGCAUGCAGACAACCACCAGGCAGGAUCCAACCAAUGGGAGCGAGGAGCUGGAUAGAGAGACUCAGAGGGACCCCACAGUGGGGAGAGAGAGAACCAGCAGAGUGCUCAUUGAUCUCAACAGUGAAGAGGAUGUGAUGGUGGGCUGUCAGGGUACUGUCUGUAUGCCCGGAGAGCAGGGGACUACAGUCAAUGGAGAAACCAGAGAUGACAUCAGCACUGAGACGAACCCAGUCGUGAUUGGUUAGCCUCCAGGAGUCCCAGCCAGGAGCCCCAGCCAGGAGCUCCAGCCAGGAGCCUGUCAGUGCCAGAGGCUUCCUCCAGGUAGAGUUGGCUCAGCUCUACCCUGCAGGGCCUGUAAAUCUCCCUGCCUCUCACUCGUGUGUCGUCUCCCUCAAGCUCCACCGACUCUACCAGACCGCAGAGUCCCUCUCACACUUAUAUUCAUGACAGAGACGUCAGUACAUCUGUGGAUAUUUACCACCAAUUUUUCACUUGAUCUUGAAAUGGUAUAAAUGGUAUUCUGACAGCAGCUGUGCCCCCUGGUCUUACUGCCGGUAGUCAAUUUGAAUUGUAGGUGAAUGGAAAUACGAUGUUUGGCUCCAAUCUGAUCUGAUCAAUCUGAUGAAAUAAAGGUUUCUCAUAAA
ensembl:lncRNA